rnacentral:lncRNA from 1 species
AACAUCCGAGGAGUUACCCCGAAGUAUUCAAAGACCUCAAUAAAGAAAGGAGUAAAAGGAAACGGUAGACCGAAUUCUCUCUGCUUCAAGAAAAACACUAUGCGACGACCCCCUUGGGGAUCUACCAAACCCGGAGGGGGAGGGUAAGGAAGGACUAUCCUUUCAUUUGGAAGAGGUGCUCGAAUGAAAUACAACGGAGCGUCUAAAAGUCUCUGGGCAAUAUACUUAGUUAUGUUUGAGGGUGUAAUAUGCGACUCAAGGUUAACAAUAUCGGGAAGCUUUGAACUGGCCAUGGAAGAGCAAGGAAGCGUACCUGAGAACACAAUGGAGUGAAAAAUGCAGAAGGAGUUGCAGGAAGACAGAGAGCAGAAAAGAGCUAGUUUCUUCAGAAGACAGAAAGAAUUCAAGAUGAAAGACAAUAAUGAGACGGAACGUGGAUCUGAACAGUUUUGUCUUGAAGCGGCGCGAUCAUUAAUUACUCUCGAAGUUUACCCUCUCAACGGUUAGAUAAAUCACCGGUGAGAAGGUAAAGGGGCAAAAAGAUGAUCGCUGGGCUUCUCCACAUCCGUCAAGGGCCAGAUCCGUGAUCACGGCCCAUCAACCAAAAGCCCAUUCGUCACCUACAUAAUACAGGCCCAACUUAGCCCGCAAGAACAACUCAACCUGCAAAAUUCACCACUUCACCACCUCCAUGGCAAAUACCAAGGAAACAGAGGGGCAAGUCAUGAAAAGACUCAAAAGUACAAGCAAAUGGGAGCAUGAUAAAAGUCAGACUUGCUCAUCACUUAAAAAGUUAUAAGAUUUGAUUUAUCGUUAUUAAACAAAGGCUGUGAGAUCGGAAAGAGGCGACAAGAGCACCUCGGGAUCAUACAGAGCUGAGAGCUCAGAAAUUAACUCGAG